rnacentral:rRNA from 1 species
CCAGGGAAAGUGACGAAGCCUGACGGAGCGACGCCGCGUGAACGAAGAAGGCCGUGAGGUUGUAAAGUUCUUUUCGGGAGGGGGAACAACCGUGGCAGGGAAUGGCCGCGGGAUGACGUGAAUCCCGGAAUAAGCCCCGGCUAACUACGUGCCAGCAGCCGCGGUAAU